rnacentral:rRNA from 1 species
AUUGAACGCUGGCGGCAGGCCUAACACAUGCAAGUCGAGCGGAUGAAGGGAGCUUGCUCCUGGAUUCAGCGGCGGACGGGUGAGUAAUGCCUAGGAAUCUGCCUGGUAGUGGGGGAUAACGUCCGGAAACGGGCGCUAAUACCGCAUACGUCCUGAGGGAGAAAGUGGGGGAUCUUCGGACCUCACGCUAUCAGAUGAGCCUAGGUCGGGUUAGCUAGUUGGUGGGGUAAAGGCCUACCAAGGCGACGAGCCGUAACUGGUCUGAGAGGAGGAUCAGCCACACUGGGACUGAGACACGGCGCAGACUCCGACGGGAGGGAGCAGUAGGGAAUAUUGGACAAUGGGCGCAAGCCUGAUCCAGCCAUGCCGCGUGAGGGAAGAAGGCCCUCGGGUUGUAAAGCUCUUUUGUGCGGGAAGAAAAGCAUCGGGCUAAUACCUCGGUGUUAUGACAGUACCGGAAGAAUAAGCACGGACUAACUUCGUG